rnacentral:lncRNA from 1 species
UCAGCGACCAGUAAUAACUGGACACGUGGACAAAACAUAGCUUCGGCAAGGAAGCACUCGGCACCCAGGCCUGCCGACCGCUUUCUUAAAACGCAAAUCACUUAUUGGACACGUGGGGCACCCACAUUAACUGUCAACAGUCCCCACAUCGAAAAUCCUACACAAUAUGCAUGCCUCCCAUGGUUUAUAAAAAGGGGCAUAAGUCCCAAAAGGAAGGUAAUCUGAACUCUCGACAUACUGCCCUUAGAUCUGUUUAAUUCUCUUACCCAAUCAGCACUUACUUAAGCAUCGAAGAGCCUUCGGCCG